rnacentral:tRNA from 1 species
GUCUGGGGCUUAGUGGUAGAGUGCUUGCCUCACAUGUGUGAGGCACUGGGUUCAAUCAUCAGCCACAUA